CCCCUAGAUGUUCUGGGCCGCACGCGCGCUACACUGAACAGUUCAACAAGUCUUAACCUUGGCCGAUAGGUCUGGGUAAUCUUUGAACGCUGUUCGUGAUUGGGAUAGACCUUUGCAAUUAUGGGUCUUCAACGAGGAAUUCCUAGUAAACGCAAGUCAUCAGCUUGCAUUGAUUACGUCCCUGCCCUUUGUACACACCGCCCGUCGCACCUACCGAUUAAAUGGUCCGGUGAAAUCUCGGGACGGCGGCUUGGUCGCUUGCGUCCGACUGCUGAAACUUGAUUAAACCAUAUCAUUUAGAGGAAGGUGAAGUNGUAACA
rnacentral:rRNA from 1 species